rnacentral:rRNA from 1 species
CCUACGGGAGGCAGCAGUGGGGGAUAUUGCACAAUGGGGGAAACCCUGAUGCAGCGACGCCGCGUGUGGGAAGACGGUCCUCUGGAUUGUAAACCACUGUCCCCAGGGACGAAGAUGACGGUACCUGGGGAGGAAGCUCCGGCUAACUACGUGCCAGCAGCCGCGGUAAUACGUAGGGAGCGAGUGUUGUCCGGAAUUACUGGGUGUAACGGGAGCGUAGGCGGGACUGCAAGUUGGGUGUCAAAUCUACCGGCUCAACCGGUAGCCGCACUCAAAACUGCAGUUCUUGAGUGAAGUAGAGGCAGGCGGAAUUCCUAGUGUAGCGGUGAAAUGCGUAGAUAUUAGGAGGAACACCAGUGGCGAAGGCGGCCUGCUGGGCUUUUACUGACGCUGAGGCUCGAAAGUGUGGGGAGCAAACAGGAUUAGAUACCCCUGUAGUC